rnacentral:rRNA from 1 species
UACGUAGGGAGCAAGCGUUGUCCGGAAUCAUUGGGCGUAAAGAGCGCGUAGGUGGCUUCGUAAGUCCGUUGUGAAAGUCAAAGGCUCAACCUUUGAAAGCCGAUGGAUACUGCGGAGCUAGAGUACGGAAGAGGCGAGUGGAAUUCCUGGUGUAGCGGUGGAAUGCGCAGAUAUCAGGAGGAACACCAAUAGCGAAGGCAGCUCGCUGGGACGUUACUGACACUGAGGCGCGAAAGCGUGGGGAGCGAACAGG